GACGAACGCUGGCGGCGUGCUUAACACAUGCAAGUCGAACGGUGAAGCGCCUUCCUUUUUGGUGGGUGUGGAUGAGUGGCGAACGGGUGAGUAACACGUGAGUAACCUGCCCCCUUCUUCUGGAUAACCGCAUGAAAGUGUGGCUAAUACGGGAUAUUCUGGGUCUGUCGCAUGAUGGGUCUGGGAAAGAUAUUGUUUCGGUGGGGGAUGGGCUCGCGGCCUAUCAGCUUGUUGGUGGGGUGAUGGCCUACCAAGGCGGUGACGGGUAGCCGGCCUGAGAGGGUGGACGGUCACACUGGGACUGAGACACGGCCAAGACUCCUACGGGAGGCAGCAGUGGGGAAUACUGCACAAUGGGCGCAAGCCUGAUGCAGCGACGCCGCGUGAGGGAUGGAGGCCUUCGGGUUGUGAACCUCUUUCGCCAGUGAAGCGGGCCUGCCUCGUUUGUGGGUGGGUUGACGGUAGCUGGAUAAGAAGCGCCGGCUAACUACGUG
rnacentral:rRNA from 1 species